rnacentral:rRNA from 1 species
CACGUAGGGUGCGAGCGUUGUCCGGAAUUAUUGGGCGUAAAGAGCUCGUAGGCGGUGUGUCGCGUCGAUCGUGAAAACUUGGGGCUUAACCCUGAGCUUGCGGUCGAUACAGGCAUCACUUGAGUUCGGCAGGGGAGACUGGAAUUCCUGGUGUAGCGGUGAAAUGCGCAGAUAUCAGGAGGAACACCGGUGGCGAAGGCGGGUCUCUGGGCCGAUACUGACGCUGAGGAGCGAAAGCGUGGGGAGCGAACAGG